AAGUCGCGCGGGUAGCAAUACUAGCGGCGCACGGGUGAGUAAUGCACAGGAAUCUGCCUCUAGGUGGGGAAUAGCUCGGGGAAACUCGAAUUAAUACCGCAUGAUGCCUAAGGGUUAAAGCAGUAAUGCGCCAAGAGAUGAGCCUGUGUCCGAUUAGCUAGUUGGAGAGGUAAUGGCUCACCAAGGCUACGAUCGGUAACUGGUCUGAGAGGACGAUCAGUCACAGUGGAACUGAGACACGGUCCACACUCCUACGGGAGGCAGCAGUGGGGAAUUUUCCGCAAUGGGCGCAAGCCUGACGGAGCGAUACCGCGUGUAGGAUUAAGGCCCUAGGGUCGUAAACUACUGUCGGAGGGGAAGAAACAAAUGACGGUACCCUCAAAGGAAGCACCGGCUAACUCUGUGCCAGCAGCCGCGGUAAGACAGAGGGUGCAAGCGUUGUCCGGAAUUAUUGGGCGUAAAACGUCUGUAGGCGGUUCAUCAAGUCUAAUGUUAAAUGGUGGAGCUCAACUUCGCCAUGCAUUGGAAACUGACGGACUAGAGUGCGUUAGGGGUUAUUGGAAUUCCCGGUGUAGUGGUGAAAUACGUAGAUAUCGGGAGGAACUCCAGAGGCGAAAGCGAAUAACUGGGGCGUAACUGACGCUGAGAGACGAAAGCGUGGGGAGCAAAAAGGAUUAGAUACCCUUG
rnacentral:rRNA from 1 species